rnacentral:rRNA from 1 species
UUGAAUUUUCUGUAUGACAGAGAGGUUGCCGUUGUAGAGAAGCCGCCUAAGAAAAUUUGCCAUGGCUUGGGCUCAAACGACUUAGACUCAUCUGGAAGACAAGUUUGGGCAGACCUUACAGACAGCCUGCUUCACCUAAUCAUUGUCCUCUUCAGCUCAUUCCAUGAUUUCCUUGCUGUUACUAGCACCUGCCGCUCUUGGCGUGCUACAAUUUCUUCCUUCCCACCCAUAUAUCACUUCUCCUUCCCACCUCUCUUUGUCAAAACAGGCCUUCAUUAUGCUCGUCGGCAUAUGGGCGACCGCAAUUCCUGCCACAACCCUUUAUCUAACUACAAAUGGCAGCUUCGUGAUCCUGCGAAGACAAAUUUAUCCCUUCGUUGUUCAGCACCCCGACAUACUCCAUAUUAUGUGUGCUAUUUGGGCUGUUCAUAUGGGUAUUUGAUCUUGUACUGUGAGGAACAAUGCUUCCUUGUUGAUGUGUACACUAGUACUAUGGUGAAGCCCCGUAAAUUUCAACGCAGUGACAACUCUAAAAUCUACUAUGGCGUCUUUACGGCUCCUCUUAGUUCGCCCAACUCGUGCCUCCUCCUUUUCUCGAGAAAGUAUAUGUUCCGGUGGCAAGUUGGAACAAAGUCCUGGAUGGAGCACCCUCUCGUUGCUGGACGCAUUCAUCAAAUUGUGUCCUUCAAAGGUCAGAUGUUGGCCAUGGACUCUCUUAUGAAGCUCAAUACUAUUUCCUUGGCACCUCAGCUUGGCAUGCCGGAAGAACCACUUGUGUGGGGAGAGGACAUGACCGCUGGCUUGCUUAAAAAACCAUGGUUGGUGGUCCGUGGUGACAUGCUUCUCAAGGUUGACCUCUCAAUACAUGAUCUCAAAUUCUGCUUUCAAGCCUACCGCCUGGACUUAUCAGUCAGACCCGCUAAGUGGGCGAAGAUGAAGAAGUUGGGAAAUUGGGUUCUCUUUCUUAGCCUUGAUAGGAGGAGCUCUACAUUUUCUUGCUUGAACCCUGAAAGAUGGGACGGGAAGAGUAAUUUCAUUUACGUUCUGCGCAGAUCCAAAGAUUCCAACGAACCUUGGAUUGAGAUAGAGCUUGGUCAGUUCAUGUCCAGGAGAUCCCAUCCCAUUUCAUACAUUCUCGGACGCAAAGGCAAGCAGCUGGAGAGCUUCUGGGUGCUCCCCAGUUUGGUGUAUGGUGUCAACAAGUGA